rnacentral:rRNA from 1 species
UACAGAGGGGGCAAGCGUUGUUCGGAAUUACUGGGCGUAAAGGGCGCGUAGGCGGCCUGCUAAGUCGAACGUGAAAUCCCCGGGCUCAACCCGGGAACUGCGUCCGAUACUGGCAGGCUUGAAUUCGGGAGAGGGAUGCGGAAUUCCAGGUGUAGAGGUGAAAUUCGUAGAUAUCGGGAGGAACACCGGUGGCGAAGGCGGCGACCUGGGUAGAUACUGACGCUGAGGCGCGAAAGCGUGGGGAGCAAACAGG